rnacentral:rRNA from 1 species
GUAGGGUGCGAGCGUUAAUCGGAAUUACUGGGCGUAAAGCGUGCGCAGGCGGUUAUGUAAGACAGAUGUGAAAUCCCCGGGCUCAACCUGGGAACUGCAUUUGUGACUGCAUGGCUAGAGUACGGUAGAGGGGGAUGGAAUUCCGCGUGUAGCAGUGAAAUGCGUAGAUAUGCGGAGGAACACCGAUGGCGAAGGCAAUCCCCUGGACCUGUACUGACGCUCAUGCACGAAAGCGUGGGGAGCAAACAGGAUUAGAUACCCUGGUAGUCCACGCCCUAAACGAUGUCAACUGGUUGUUGGGAAUUAGUUUUCUCAGUAACGAAGCUAACGCGUGAAGUUGACCGCCUGGGGAGU